GCUCAACCCCGGAGCUGCAUCUGAAACUGCUCAGCUAGAGUUCAGUUAGGGUAAACGGAAUUCCACGUGUAGCGGUGAAAUGCGUAGAUAUGUGGAAGAACACCGGUGGUGAAGACGGUUUACUGGGCUGAUACUGACGCUGAGGUACGAAAGCGUGGGUAGCAAACAGGAUUAGAUACCCUGGUAGUCCACGCCGUAAACGAUGCCGACUAGCCGUUGGCCCCAAUUAUGGGGUAAGUGGCGCAGCUAACGCGAUAAGUCGGCCGCCUGGGGAGUACGGCCGCAAGGUUAAAACUCAAAUGAAUUGACGGGGGCCCGCACAAGCGGUGGAGCAUGUGGUUUAAUUCGAUGCAACGCGAAGAACCUUACCUACCCUUGACAUCCAGUGGAUUCGGCAGAGAUGCCUUAGUGCCUUCGGGAACACUGAGACAGGUGCUGCAUGGCUGUCGUCAGCUCGUGUCGUGAGAUGUUGGGUUAAGUCCCGUAACGAGCGCAACCCUUAUCCUUAGUUGCCAGCGGGUCAUGCCGGGAACUCUAGGGAGACUGCCGGUGAUAAAUCCGGAGGAAGGUGGGGACGACGUCAAGUCAUCAUGGCCCUUAUAGGUAGGGCUACACACGUGCUACAAUGGCCGGUACAGAGGGCUGCGAACUGGCGACAGUAAGCCAAUCCCACAAAGCCGGUCUUAGUCCGGAUCGGGGUCUGCAACUCGA
rnacentral:rRNA from 1 species